rnacentral:rRNA from 1 species
GAUGAACGCUAGCGACAGGCCUAACACAUGCAAGUCGAGGGCAGCGGGGAGGUAGCAAUACCUUUGCCGGCGACCGGCGCACGGGUGAGUAACACGUAUGCAAUCCACCUGUAACAGGGGGAUAACCCGGAGAAAUCCGGACUAAUACCCCAUAAUAUGGGCGCUCCGCAUGGAGAGUCCAUUAAAGAGAGCAAUCUUGGUUACAGACGAGCAUGCGCUCCAUUAGCCAGUUGGCGGGGUAACGGCCCACCAAGGCGACGAUGGAUAGGGGUUCUGAGAGGAAGGUCCCCCACAUUGGAACUGAGACACGGUCCAAACUCCUACGGGAGGCAGCAGUGAGGAAUAUUGGUCAAUGGGCGCGAGCCUGAACCAGCCAAGUAGCGUGGAGGACGACGGCCCUACGGGUUGUAAACUCCUUUUAUAAGGGGGAUAAAGUUGGCCAUGUAUGGCCAUUUGCAGGUACCUAUGAAUAAGCAUCGGCUAAUUCCGUGCCAGCAGCCGCGG